rnacentral:rRNA from 1 species
AACACGUGGGUAACCUGCCUGUAAGACUGGGAUAACUCCGGGAAACCGGGGCUAAUACCGGAUGCUUGUUUGAACCGCAUGGUUCAGACAUAAAAGGUGGCUUCGGCUACCACUUACAGAUGGACCCGCGGCGCAUUAGCUAGUUGGUGAGGUAACGGCUCACCAAGGCGACGAUGCGUAGCCGACCUGAGAGGGUGAUCGGCCACACUGGGACUGAGACACGGCCCAGACUCCUACGGGAGGCAGCAGUAGGGAAUCUUCCGCAAUGGACGAAAGUCUGACGGAGCAACGCCGCGUGAGUGAUGAAGGUUUUCGGAUCGUAAAGCUCUGUUGUUAGGGAAGAACAAGUGCCGUUCAAAUAGGGCGGCACCUUGACGGUACCUAACCAGAAAGCCACGGCUAACUACGUGCCAGCAGCCGCGGUAAUACGUAGGUGGCAAGCGUUGUCCGGAAUUAUUGGGCGUAAAGGGCUCGCAGGCGGUUUCUUAAGUCUGAUGUGAAAGCCCCCGGCUCAACCGGGGAGGGUCAUUGGAAACUGGGGAACUUGAGUGCACAAGAGGAGAGUGGAAUUCCACGUGUAGCGGUGAAAUGCGUACAGAUGUGGAGGAACACCAGUGGCGAAGGCGACUCUCUGGUCUGUAACUGACGCUGAGGAGCGAAAGCGUGGGGAGCGAACAGGAUUAGAUACCCUGGUAGUCCACGCCGUAAACGAUGAGUGCU